rnacentral:tRNA from 1 species
GGCGCAGCCCAUCCCCAAUGGUUGUUCGUACCGGGUUGUGGCCCCGGGGGCCGUGGGUUCAAAUCCCACC